UGAGACUAAUUAACUUAAAACUCAUGAAAGUCUCCAAUGAAAAUUCGCAUCCUACUGAGAGAACCUGGGGAAGGUUACUCACAGCUUCCGUGGGACCACUAGCGCCAGUGGGCACAUCCGGAGCAAACACAUCGGAGACACAUUUUCCUUUCUUUGUGAACUCAGCCUCAUCUCAAAGGACUCAGGAAUGUAAUUCAUUCAGAACUGGAAAGAAUCUCUUUUGAAACAGUGAGGUAAUCAUUUAAAAUCUAUUUACCUCUUAGGUUAAACCUUUAAUCUACUAUUACAAAUAUUUAUUCUCCUCUAUCCAAUCCAUAGUUCAUUCAGCAAAUAUUUAUUGAGUACCCACAAUGUGCUAGAAUUCACAGGACAUUCUUCUGGAUGGAAGUCAUGGAAGCAGAACCAAAGUGGAAUGAUUUCAUUUCUGUCUCGCAUCUGUUGACAUUAUACUGUCAGCCCCAAACAACCUUGGUCUAAUAUACUAUCAAGCAGCUUUGAAGACAGGAGGAACAUGGGCUUUUACAUCAGAUUUAGGGAUGGGAGGGGUGGUAGGCAGAAUGGCCCCUAAGAUUUCCCGCCCGGCUGGUAUACGUGAUAUGCAUAUUCCCUGGGACUACACCAUAUAAUGGAUUUUACUCCUGUCGUCAGGCUAUGUUUCAGUUGACCUUAAGAUAAUAAAAUUACCCAGGUGAGCUUGACCUAAUCCUAUCUAUACUUUUAAAGCAAAGGGUUUUCUGUAGCUGGUUUUAGGGGAAGAAGUUAAAAAGAUUUGGAGCUCAAGAGGAUUUGAUUCACCAUUAUUGGUAUGAAGAUAGAGAGGAGUCAUGGCAAAGGAUGUGGGCAGCCUAUAGGAGCUGAAGGAAGCCCCAGGUAACAGCCAAGAAGGAAACCGGACCUUCUUUUUAGAACCACAGGAACAGAAUUCUGCUGACAAGAAUAAGCUUGAAAAGUGGAGUCUUCCCCAGAGCAUCCAGAAGAACACUCAGUUGGGGCAAUACCUUGAUUUCGGCCUCACCAUACCCCCAGCUGAGGCCCCAGCCAUGCCAUACUCUGAAUCACAAACCUGUGAGCUAAUAAAUGGAUAUUUUAAUGGUA